AGGAGGGCAGGGGCUAAGGAGAGAGGGAAGAGAAGAUCCAAAUCUAAUUGCAUUGGCCUUCAGCCUCACUAGGGCUCCAUGCUCCCAGAGGUGGUGAUACACUUGUAUUCAGCAGCCGUCACUGAUCUUGCUUGUAAAAGUCCUAUUUCGACAUGGGCGUGCUUUCCUGAGGUUUGAGUCUCUGGAAUUACCCUAAUUUUCCUCUGGAUUUUGCAGUUAUGGAGAUCUGAGAACACCCCACUGGCUGGAAUGAUGCCUCCCAUGCAAAGGAGUGUUAACUAAUUUAGUUUUCCCAGUUGGAAUACCACAACCUAAACAUAUGGAUUUAUCUUGAAACCAGGAAGCCUGACAUACACUGCUGCCAAAACAAAGGAGAAAAUGCAACGUUUUGUCCUGUAAUGAGACAGCAAAGAAGCGCGGGUCCAGAAGGUAUCCAUCCUGAUCAUUUCAAGGUGGCAGGGCCUGGGCCCAGGGGAGCAGGCAGCUCCCUGCAAGUUCUCCUGAAUAUUCCGUUCUGUAUUUCUCCGUAUCUCCUUCGACAGCAUCUCUACUGCAUCUCUUAAUGGACCAAAUGUUUGUGUCCCCCAAAAUGUCUAUGUUGAAGCCCUAACCUCGACGUGACUGUAUUUGGAGAAGAGAUCGCACGAGCACACAGCGAGAUGGCGGCCACCUGUAGGCCAAGAAACGAGGCCUUAGAGUGAAACCUACUUUGCUGGCACCUUGAUCUUGGACUUUACAGCCUCCAGAACUGUGAAAAAGUAAAUCUCUGCUCUUCAGCCAUCCUGUCAAUGGCAUCUUGUUAUGGCAGCCCAAGCAGACCCAGACAAUCUCCUAGCAAUGCUUUCCUAGGAACACUGUGACAAUUGCUGGUGUCCCUCAACCCCUCCUCAGGGUCCCAGCAUGUGUGUAUGACUGGGCAGAUCUCGGCGGGCACCUCUAAGGGGCCUGGCCCACCACAGCUUAGGAAUGCACAUCAAUAGCAGGUUAAACAAUGGUGGCGCUUCUGUGCAAUGGGACACCGUGGUGGCGUAAAAGGAGAGAAGCAGCUUUACGUGGACUGAUGUGGAAAGGUGCCCACUAUUGAGCCAAGUUGAAAAAAAGAAGGCAAAGUGAAAGCAGCAUUAUGUAUGUUCUUAUUUCAAUUUAUAUAUGCUAUAAAGAUCUAUAAUAGCCUGCACUGAAAAAAUAUCUGGACAAAUAGAAACCAAGCAGUGUUUAUCUCUGGGGUUAUAGGGACUUUUACUGUUUUAUGGCAUACACUUCGUAAUUUUUAUUAUGGCCAUGUGUUACUUUUAUUAUCAGAGAUAACAAUAAUGAUUUUUACAAUAAGAAAAAAACUAUUGAUCAGAAAAAAGUGCCACACACUCAUUCUUAAAAACAACUGACAUGAGAACUUGUGAUGUUACUCUGAAAAAUUGGGGUGUUUCUCUGAACAGAUUUGCACACCAGGGACUAAAUUUUGGGAAGAGAAAGUUCUUUACUGUAUAUUCUAACUUGUCAUGCAAUGACACUGUGCAUCAUUAAAACGCAUUUUUUCCUUUCAAAAAUUAAGCAGUAGCCUAAUAGCUUAUUUCCUAAGAUUUUAACUAGAAAAGCCCACAAGUUGUUUUAAGAUGCUGACAUGAACACCAUUUAGAAAGUGACAAGCCUCUCUAUAUGAUACAUUAAUGAGAAGAAGGAGGAGGGGUGUGAGAGGAGAAGGAAGAGCAUUUGGAAGCUCUAUUCAGGAAGUGGUAUUCCGUUUCACCUCCAUUGUUAGAAACGCACUCUGCAAGCCUUAAACUAGAAGGCAGUGCUUGGAAGUUCUUUUAUACUCUUCUUCUCUACAGGCACACCUCGGAUAUAUUGCAGGUUCAGUUCCAGACCACCGCAAUAAA
ensembl:lncRNA